CUGUUGUUAUAAUAUUUCUUUUUGACUGAAUACAUGUUUGUUUUAUUUGUCUAUAUCUUAGAUUCGCAGCUGGACACAUCCUUCUACACUGUAUGCAAACAUGCAACAUCAUAACACACAGUACAAGGAGUCAGACUGGCAUAUGAGGAGCAAAGGAACCCAGACAGUAGCAUCGUUUCACAAUGUUUCCAUCACCAUCAUCAGUGGAUGCCUUUGCCGUCCGUAGCCUGAGAUUUCAGAUUUGCAGCAAAAAAAUUUGAUUUUCUCAUUUAUUGGAAUGCUAUGCAGGUUGUACCUUGCAGCCAUCCAUUACAAUGUCACCAAGCCGUAACAAAAGCAGGAGAGGGAAAGUACAAGGCUAUGUUCCCAAAACACACAAAUGACAUACCUUAUGUGGAUGAUGUGAUCAGGCUUGUGUUUGCUGAGGUAUUUGAAGAUAAGCUGAAGGAAACCCCGAUUCCAAUGGACCUGGCAUCACAGUUUGAGAGACCUUCAAAGGAGGAAGUGAUUGCAUGCCAUCUUCAGUGCAGGGGUCGUCGGAAGCCAACAUUCCGAUCAGGAAGCUCCAAGCGUAUCUGGAGAACAACACACGACAGGAUGAUAACCCUAAAGUGUCAUCUUAGAUAGCAUCAGCUGACAAAGCUUUGAUAUGCCAUUUAUCUGAAUAGAUAGCUGUAAGAAGUGAAUUGAACAAUUUUUGAAAGAAGAGCACAAUAUGGUUACUAAAGUAUGUUUAUUUGU